rnacentral:rRNA from 1 species
UACGUAGGGGCUAGCGUUGUCCGGAAUCAUUGGGCGUAAAGAGCGCGUAGGCGGCCAGAUAAGUCCGGUGUGAAAGUCACAGGCUCAACCUGUGAAUGCCGCUGGAAACUGUAUGGCUAGAGUCCGGAAGGGCGAGUGGAAUUCCGUGGUGUAGCGGUGAAAUGCGCAGAGUAUCGGGAGGACACCGGUGGCGAAGGCGGGUCAUGGUC